GACGAACGCUGGCGGCGUGCUUAACACAUGCAAGUCGAACGGAAAGGCCCUGCUUUUGUGGGGUGCUCGAGUGGCGAACGGGUGGGUAACACGUGAGUAACCUGCCCUUGACUUUGGGAUAACUUCAGGAAACUGGGGCUAAUACCGGAUAGGAGCUCCUGCUGCAUGGUGGGGGUUGGAAAGUUUCGGCGGUUGGGGAUGGACUCGCGGCUUAUCAGCUUGUUGGUGGGGUAGUGGCUUACCAAGGCUUUGACGGGUAGCCGGCCUGAGAGGGUGACCGGCCACAUUGGGACUGAGAUACGGCCCAGACUCCUACGGGAGGCGGUAGUGGGGAAUAUUGCACAAUGGGCGGAAGCCUGAUGCAGCAACGCCGCGUGCGGGAUGACGGCCUUCGGGUUGUAAACCGCUUUCGCCUGUGACGAAGCGUGAGUGACGGUAAUGGGUAAAGAAGCACCGGCUAACUACGUG
rnacentral:rRNA from 1 species